rnacentral:rRNA from 1 species
GACGUGACUUCAGAGUUUGAUCCUGGCUCAGGACGAACGCUGGCGGCGUGCUUAACACAUGCAAGUCGAACGGUAAGGCCCUUUCGGGGGUACACGAGUGGCGAACGGGUGAGUAACACGUGGGUAAUCUGCCCUGCACUUCGGGAUAAGCCUGGGAAACUGGGUCUAAUACCGGAUAUGAGCUCUCACCGCAUGGUGGGGGUUGGAAAGUUUUUUCGGUGCAGGAUGAGCCCGCGGCCUAUCAGCUUGUUGGUGGGGUAAUGGCCUACCAAGGCGACGACGGGUAGCCGGCCUGAGAGGGUGAUCGGCCACACUGGGACUGAGACACGGCCCAG